AUGCACAUGCCUACAACAUUAAUGCAUUAGAUCCCAUUAUAACUCUAGAGUUAAGCAUGAUUGGGCUAGAGUAGUACUUACGGAGAAGUCCUAGUGUUUUACAUU
rfam:Picea glauca, whole genome shotgun sequence.